rnacentral:rRNA from 1 species
AUACGGAGGAUGCGAGCGUUAUCCGGAUUCAUUGGGUAUAAAGGGUGCGUAGGCGGCCCCCCAAGUCAGCGGUGAAAUGUCCGGGCCCAACCCGGAGGGUGCCGUUGAUACUGCGGGGCUGGAGUACGGACGCCGGCGGAGGAAUGAGUGGUGCAGCGGUGAAAUGCAUAGAUAUCACUCAGAAAACCGAUUGCGAAGGCAUCCGCCGAGGCCGUUACUGACGCUGAGGCACGAAAGCGUGGGGAUAGAACAGGAUUAGAUACCCUGGUAUUCCACGCCGUAAACGAUGAUGACUAACCGCCGGGCGGAAUGACGUCCGGCAGCCAAGCGAAAGCGAUAAGUCAUCCACCUGGGGAGUACGGCCGCAAGGCUGAAACUCAAAUGAAUUGGCGGGG